UACGUAGGGGGCAAGCGUUGUCCGGAUUUAUUGGGCGUAAAGAGCGUGUAGGCGGCCAGACAGGUCCGUUGUGAAAACUCGAGGCUCAACCUCGAGAUGUCGAUGGAAACCGUCUGGCUAGAGUCCGGAAGAGGAGACUGGAAUUCCCGGUGUAGCGGUGGAAUGCGCAGAUAUCGGGAGGAACACCCGUGGCGAAGGCGGGUCUCUGGGACGGUACUGACGCUGAGACGCGAAAGCGUGGGGAGCGAACAGG
rnacentral:rRNA from 1 species